CGACUACGCACUGCCUUAACACUGCAUGCACAGCUGCAACUUACAUACGUCUGAAACUUUAGAACAACAUCAAAUAAUUUUAGAUAAAUAUUUGUCUUAUAUUUGUUUGAAUGUAGGUAAAAGCAUAUAUUAUUUUAAAUACACGAAAGUGUGCAAAAAUGUUUGUGAAAAACAUAAAAACUCGUACAGUAGAUUACUCUGCUGACAACUAUUAAGUGAGAAAAAACUGCGUCAUCGACUAGCUAACAUUUCCUGCGGAAGCGCCAUUAUUUCGUUGGCAUUUAGUAAAUUUUAUGAGAAAUGCAAUGAUUGGAUCCUAUUGUGCUAUGAGUAUUCCAAGUAGAUUUAUGGCGGAUUUGUGUGCAAAGUUUCUCGUCAUCACUAAAUGAAAAAAAAACCAAUAAUCCGAAAUUCGGCUUCCAUCUGCGAAUUACGUCUUGGAAUGCAAUAUUAUUGUAUAAAUGUUAAAAUCAUUUUGAAGUUGCGACUGAUUUCGAAGACGAUCUUGGUAAACUAUUAAAUAGAAAUGCUACCUUUUUUACUACUUGCCUCCGGACGUAUUAAUUAAAUUUCUACAAAUGUAUCGAGUCAGAUUAAUUUCACUCGGCAGCGAUCUAGAACUUUCCGAAUCGCCUAAGUUAAAUAGAGUAACAAAGAGCUCUUCGAGCCUAAGAUUUAAACCUGGAUUAAAAUUAUUUCCAACUAAAUGAUAAUUUGGAGCUGUACCAAACUGAGCCAGUACCCCGAUUAAAAGCCUGAUGACCAACAAAGAGACUAACAUUUAUUUUUAUGCACAAAUAUCCAAGGACCAGCACACGCAGAUGUACACAUGUGUAUGUAUAUAUUGACUUUGUGAAUAUGUAAAUCCCUACGCAUGGCUUUGUGUGUCGCCGAAAAUGUUUUGACAUAUUGAAAUAAACGCUUAUGGCGGUAAUGUGCUU